rnacentral:rRNA from 1 species
ACGAACGCUGGCGGCGUGCCUAAUACAUGCAAGUAGAACGCUGAAGGAGGAGCUUGCUUCUCUGGAUGAGUUGCGAACGGGUGAGUAGCGCGUAGGUAACCUGCCUGUUAGCGGGGGAUAACUAUUGGAAACGAUAGCUAAUACCGCAUAAUAGCAGUUGUUGCAUGACAACUGUUUGAAAGGUGCAAUUGCACCACUACCAGAUGGACCUGCGUUGUAUUAGCUAGUUGGUGGGGUAACGGCUCACCAAGGCGACGAUACAUAGCCGACCUGAGAGGGUGAUCGGCCACACUGGGACUGAGACACGGCCCAGACUCCUACGGGAGGCAGCAGUAGGGAAUCUUCGGCAAUGGACGGAAGUCUGACCGAGCAACGCCGCGUGAGUGAAGAAGGUUUUCGGAUCGUAAAGCUCUGUUGUAAGAGAAGAACGAGUGUGAGAGUGGAAAGUUCACACUGUGACGGUAUCUUACCAGAAAGGGACGGCUAACUACGUG